rnacentral:rRNA from 1 species
GACGGGGGAUGCAAGCGCUAUCCGGAAUCACUGGGCGUAAAGCGUCUGUAGGUGGUGAUGCAAGUCACUGGUGCAAAACUCUGGCUCAACCGGAGGAAAGCCAGUGAAACUGCAUGACUAGAGUGUGGGAGAGGUAGAAGGAAUUCCCUGAGUAGCGGUGAAAUGCGUAGAUACAGGGAAGAACACCGGACGCGAAAGCGUUCUACUGGAACACAACUGACAAUGAGAGACGAAAGAUAGGGGAGCGAAUGGG